CAGUCGCCGCGGUAAUACAGAGGGUGCGAGCGUUAAUCGGAUUUACUGGGCGUAAAGCGUGCGUAGGCGGCUUUUAAGUCGGAUGUGAAAUCCCUGAGCUUAACUUAGGAAUUGCAUUCGAUACUGGGAAGCUAGAGUAUGGGAGAGGAUGGUAGAAUUCCAGGUGUAGCGGUGAAAUGCGUAGAGAUCUGGAGGAAUACCGAUGGCGAAGGCAGCCAUCUGGCCUAAUACUGACGCUGAGGUACGAAAGCAUGGGGAGCAAACAGGAUUAGAUACCCGCGUAGUCCCUGUCUCUUAUACA
rnacentral:rRNA from 1 species